rnacentral:rRNA from 1 species
CAGUAGCCACGGUAAUACGUAGGGUGCAAGCGUUAAUCGGAAUUACUGGGCGUAAAGCGUGCGCAGGCGGUUUGUUAAGACAGUUGUGAAAUCCCCGGGCUCAACCUGGGAACUGCAUUUGUGACUGGCAAGCUAGAGUGUGGCAGAGGGGGGUGGAAUUCCGCGUGUAGCAGUGAAAUGCGUAGAUAUGCGGAGGAACACCGAUGGCGAAGGCAGCCCCCUGGGCCAACACUGACGCUCAUGCACGAAAGCGUGGGGAGCAAACAGGAUUAGAUACCCGGGUAGUCCCUGUCUCUUAUAC